GACGAACGCUGGCGGCGUGCCUAAUACAUGCAAGUCGAAAGCAGUGGGGACGGGUGAGUAACACGUGGGUAACCUCCCAUCAGAGGGGAUAACACUUGGAAACAGGUGCUAAACCGAUACUGAUGGAUGGACCCGCGGUGCAUUAGCUAGUUGGUGAGGUAACGGCUCACCAAGGCCACGAUUCAUAGGCGACCUGCGAGGUUGAUGGUCGACACUGGGAUUGAGACACGGCCCGGACUCCUACGAGAGGCAGCAGUAGGGAAUCUUCGGCAAGGGACGAAAUUUUGACCGAGCAACUCCGCGUGAGUGAAGAGGUGUUUCGGAUCGUAAGACUCUGUUGUUAGAGUAGCGGUAUCUAACCAGAAAGCGACGGCUAACUACGUGCCAGCAGCCGCGGUAAUUC
rnacentral:rRNA from 1 species